rnacentral:rRNA from 1 species
UUUAGGUAGCGCCUCGUGAAUUCAUCUCCGGGGGUAGAGCACUGUUUCGGCAAGGGGGUCAUCCCGACUUACCAACCCGAUGCAAACUGCGAAUACCGGAGAAUGUUAUCACGGGAGACACACGGCGGGUGCUAACGUCCGUCGUGAAGAGGGAAACAACCCAGACCGCCAGCUAAGGUCCCAAAGUCAUGGUUAAGUGGGAAACGAUGUGGGAAGGCCCAGACAGCCAGGAUGUUGGCUUAGAAGCAGCCAUCAUUUAAAGAAAGCGUAAUAGCUCACUGGUCGAGUCGGCCUGCGCGGAAGAUGUAACGGGGCUAAACCAUGCACCGAAGCUGCGGCAGCGACGCUGAUGCGUUGUUGGGUAGGGGAGCGUUCUGUAAGCCUGUGAAGGUGUGCUGUGAGGCAUGCUGGAGGUAUCAGAAGUGCGAAUGCUGACAUAAGUAACGAUAAAGCGGGUGAAAAGCCCGCUCGCCGGAAGACCAAGGGUUCCUGUCCAACGUUAAUCGGGGCAGGGUGAGUCGACCCCUAAGGCGAGGCCGAAAGGCGUAGUCGAUGGGAAACAGGUUAAUAUUCCUGUACUUGGUGUUACUGCGAAGGGGGGACGGAGAAGGCUAUGUUGGCCGGGCGACGGUUGUCCCGGUUUAAGCGUGUAGGCUGGUUUUCCAGGCAAAUCCGGAAAACUAAGGCUGAGGCGUGAUGACGAGGCACUACGGUGCUGAAGCAACAAAUGCCCUGCUUCCAGGAAAAGCCUCUAAGCAUCAGGUAACAUCAAAUCGUACCCCAAACCGACACAGGUGGUCAGGUAGAGAAUACCAAGGCGCUUGAGAGAACUCGGGUGAAGGAACUAGGCAAAAUGGUGCCGUAACUUCGGGAGAAGGCACGCUGAUAUGUAGGUGAAGUCCCUCGCGGAUGGAGCUGAAAUCAGUCGAAGAUACCAGCUGGCUGCAACUGUUUAUUAAAAACACAGCACUGUGCAAACACGAAAGUGGACGUAUACGGUGUGACGCCUGCCCGGUGCCGGAAGGUUAAUUGAUGGGGUCAGCGCAAGCGAAGCUCUUGAUCGAAGCCCCGGUAAACGGCGGCCGUAACUAUAACGGUCCUAAGGUAGCGAAAUUCCUUGUCGGGUAAGUUCCGACCUGCACGAAUGGCGUAAUGAUGGCCAGGCUGUCUCCACCCGAGACUCAGUGAAAUUGAACUCGCUGUGAAGAUGCAGUGUACCCGCGGCAAGACGGAAAGACCCCGUGAACCUUUACUAUAGCUUGACACUGAACAUUGAGCCUUGAUGUGUAGGAUAGGUGGGAGGCUUUGAAGUGUGGACGCCAGUCUGCAUGGAGCCGACCUUGAAAUACCACCCUUUAAUGUUUGAUGUUC